rnacentral:lncRNA from 1 species
AGAUGAUCCUCCUGAUGUAUCCUCAGAAAGUUGAUAGUAGCCUGAUGCUAUGUCACAACACCUACAGCAUUCACCUCUCUUCACCUUUUCAAGUUGACUGGAUACACUGUAUCUCUUUACUCAGGACCCAAAAUGAUGGAGCAACCACCACCCUCACCCGUCACAGUGGUAAAAGUAAAGAAUAAUUCUGAAGGGUCUUUAACAGGAAAUAAAAGGCCCCAUCUUAGA